GCCGGAAUGGCGGAACUGGUAGACGCGCACGGUUCAGGGCCGUGUAAGAUUUAUCUUGUGGGGGUUCGAUUCCCCCUUCCGGCACCA
rnacentral:tRNA from 2 species